rnacentral:rRNA from 1 species
UACGGAGGGUGCAAGCGUUGUCCGGAAUCACUGGGCGUAAAGGGCGCGUAGGCGGCCUUCUAAGUCAGACGUGAAAUCCCCCGGCUUAACCUGGGAACUGCGUCUGAUACUGGAGGGCUUGAGUGCGGGAGAGGGAUGUGGAAUUCCAGGUGUAGCGGUGAAAUGCGUAGAUAUCGGGAGGAACACCAGUGGCGAAGGCGGCUUCCUGGACCGGUUCUGACACUGAGGAGCGAAAGCGUGGGGAGCGAGCCGG